GACGAACGCUGGCGGCGUGCUUAACACAUGCAAGUCGAACGAUGAUACCUAGCUUGCUAGGUCGAUUAGUGGCGAACGGGUGAGUAACACGUGACUAACCUGCCCCUUUCUCUGGGAUAACGCUCCGAAAGGAGUGCUAAUACCGGAUACUCACACCGAGGCACAUGCCUUGGUGUGGAAAGUUUUUCGGAAAGGGAUGGAGUCGCGGCCUAUCAGCUUGUUGGUGAGGUAACGGCUCACCAAGGCGACGACGGGUAGCCGGCCUGAGAGGGGGACCGGCCACACUGGGACGGAGACACGGCCCAGACUCCUACGGGGGGCAGCAGUGGGGAAUAUUACACAAUGGGCGCAAGCCUGAUGCAGCGACGCCGGGUGGGGGAUGAAGGUCUUCGGAUUGUAACCCUCUUUCAGUAGGGACGAAGCGAAAGUGAGGGUACCUAAAGAAGAAGCACCGGCUAACUACGUGCCACCCGCCGCGGUAA
rnacentral:rRNA from 1 species